UGGUAUUUAAUCAUGUGUCCAUUUUGUUCUUUUCACCCCUCUUUCCCACCGACUCACUGCCGCACAAUAAAAUUUUAUAUGAUAUACUACUCACUGGCGCCGGGCUCGAGCACCUCACUUCACCGCAGGCCCUGGGUACCAGAUACAAGCUCUGUCUCGAAGGUGAGGUCAUUUCUAAGCGUAUUUAUAACACUUUGAAGUUGAAACUGAAGUUGAAGCUUGGCACAUCGCGCGUGCCACCGCACCGGCCUGCCCAGGCCAUUUCACGGCACCGGCGCUAAGUCGGCGUAUCAUCAUCAUCAUCAUCAUCAUCAUCAUCAUGCCUAGACAAUCAAUGUGGCGUCCCGCCGGUCCUCUAGUCUCAGACUUGUCUUCGAGCGCUGACCGACAGCCGAGUCGUCAGGCACUUUGCCGCACAGCGAGGACGGCAGCGAGUGAUAUAUCGGGCCCAUUGCCUCGCGGGCUCCUCCGCUCCGCCUCGCGACUCCCGCCUCUUUUCACAGCUCUGACCGAGCUGCGCGCUCUGGCGUCACGCGCCGCACUCCCUUCGCUUCGCCUCACAAGCGAAGCGUCCGGACGCGACUGAAGGCGAACCGAAGACUCAAAGUAUAGUCUAUAGGCGACUGCUGUCGCCGUUUGUUCAGAGAAGCGACUUAGCCGGACGCCCGCCGCACAAAUGAGUUGUCGGUGCCUUUUCGGGAUGGAAAAAGUCCGCCGAGUCUUCGCUUUGUAGGAUGCGCUCGCGCCAGACGGCUGCCUUCGGAGGGGCGACAAGGCGGCGCGGCGGACAGCAGUGGUGUUGCACAGCACCUGGACUCUCUGGAUAAGGAUGCCUUGGAGAGACAGGGACCACCUGCAGACCCCUGGAAACUGGACUCUCUUGGGCCUCCUCUUUGUGGGGUAUUUCCUGCCUCCCCUCCCCUCAGUGCAUAGCUACUUCAUGAGUGAGUCCAAAGCUGUGUUUCGCCGUGGCUGUGGUGAUUACUGGACCCUGCAGGACAGGAAUGAGAUGCCACCUCUCCACCAGGUGAGCGUGUGCACGGAGGUGUGCAUCCUGUCACCGGGGCAAUGGACAGCUUUCACCUACAGGACCCCGCACACGCCACACUAUGACCUGGCCCUAGGAGGUGAUGUAUGGGGCUUGGAGGUGUGGCUCCUGGGAGUUCAGCACCGCUUUUCCAUAGUUCUGCAAUUGCAUCGGUGGUACCACAUCUGCCUGCGGCGUAAUUCCCUUAGCAACAUCUUGCGUCUGGAGGUGGAUGACUGGGCUGCCGAGCGCACUGUCGUAGGUCAGGCCAUCCCUCCUGCUGGAGAGCUGCUACUAGGCUGUCAAGUCCAGGAGCACAAGGCUGCCAUGGAGGAGGCGGUUCGGGUGGAGCUGUACCUGUUCCGUGUGUGGAGGGAUGUGCAGCAGCACGGUGCCUGUGAGGACGGAGAUGUAGUGGGCUGGGACUCAAGCCAAUGGACAGUGGCUGGCAAGUCAAAGGCUCGGGAUGACUCUCUGCUCUGUGCAUUGCCGGUGGUAGGACGUCUUUUGCCCACACUGCUACCCAAGACGAAAGCAGCUCCCGACUCUUCAUCUGAGUCCAAUGUAAUGGCAGCAUCUUCAGUCCUCCCAGAGCUUCUGGGCCAGUCCCAGUAUACAGCUGCCCAGAGCACAUUCACAAAUAUAGAUCCAUACAACAUUCAAGAAGCGUGCUACAGGAUGGCUGUUGCUGUGGAAAUGAAUGGAGACCAUAUGAGCGUGUCAAACAUCAGCAGCUGGCUGGCUGGUGUCUUUGACAGAGUGCCAUGUGACCCCAGUGCUGCAGAAACCAACAUCACUAACUCAACACACAGUGUGCCUGUGCGGUCCGGCAUAUGCAGCCCAUCGUACAACUGGACAGGCGUCUCCUCAGACAGCACGUCAGGCACCCUUGAAGCCACCUCGGACAGGAAGGAAGGAAGGUGUACAAAUCAGGGAAAAGCAUCAUUCACUUUGCUCCAGGACGUUGAGGUAACAUGUGACAGCAAGGAGGCGAUAAGGAAAAUCAGUUGUACAGUGCUGUUGCAGCUGAGCCAACCCAUAGACACCUGUGUCCUUAACCAGCUGCUGCAGAAAGCCAGUGCCAGUGGUUCUGUUGAGGCCCAUAUCCUUGGAGAGGUGGAAAGAGUGGGUGAGUCUCGUAUAAAGAAAAGGGCCUCUAACCUGGACCAGGUAAGAUCUGGUGUGAGAAAGGGAAACUUAGAGGCAGAGAAACAGACACUUGGUGGAAAAAAUGCUGAAUAUCGCUCUUUUGCACUAUGUUACUGGGGCUCAAGGUCAUACUUCACUAAGGAAUGUAGCUCAGAGAGUACUUGGGUUCUCUUUAACAUAGAGCUUUUGGGUGAAGACCUCACUUGA
ensembl:lncRNA